rnacentral:rRNA from 1 species
GCCUACGGGAGGCAGCAGUGAGGAAUAUUGGUCAAUGGUCGGGAAACUGAACCAGCCAAGCCGCGUGAGGGAGGAAGGUACAGAGUAUCGUAAACCUCUUUUGUCAGGGAACAAAGGCGGGGACGUGUCCCCGGAUGAGUGUACCUGAAGAAAAAGCAUCGGCUAACUCCGUGCCAGCAGCCGCGGUAAUACGGAGGAUGCGAGCGUUAUCCGGAUUUAUUGGGUUUAAAGGGUGCGCAGGCGGUCUGUUAAGUCAGCGGUCAAAGCCCGGGGCUCAACCCCGGCCCGCCGUUGAAACUGGCAGC